UUCAUUGGCGUGUUUAAUAUGCAAAGUGCGUUCGCCUUAUCCUGAAAGAUAUUGCUACAAUCCUGGUUGUGGACAACCCACAGAUAUUGGCCUCGAAUCGUGUUUCUCGAAAUAAAUAUCCCCCGCUCCCCCAAGCCAAUUUUUGAAUGGAAUUUUCCAUCAAAUAAAAAGUAUAGAUAAUGCAGAUAUGCAACAUUGGAGAAGGGGAGUGGGGGAUAUGCGUGUAAAUCCACGUUUUAAGUGUUUGUCAGGAUCUUUGCAAAAGUGAAUUAGGUGUCCGCAUGAACUUUGACCUGGAUUGUAGUCCGAUAUAAAUUGUAACAUAUCAAACAUCGGUCGAGUAAAUUUUAGGCCAAGUUUUUUUUAUAUAUUUUUGAAUAUUCUAUAUUGUUGCAGGA
rnacentral:lncRNA from 1 species